UACAUGGGGUGCAGACGUUGCUCGGAAUCAUUGGGCGUAAAGCGCGCGUAGGCGGUUACUUAAGUUGAAUGUGAAAGCCCUCGGCUUAACCGAGGAAGUGCAUCCAAAACUGAGUAGCUAGAGUACGAAAGAGGGUCGCGGAAUUCCCGGUGUAGAGGUGAAAUUCGUAGAUAUCGGGAGGAACACCGGUGGCGAAGGCGGCGACCUGGGUCGAGACUGACGCUGAGGCGCGAAAGCGUGGGGAGCAAACAGG
rnacentral:rRNA from 1 species